GACGAACGCUGGCGGCGUGCUUAACACAUGCAAGUCGAACGAAGUGGCGAACGUGUGAGUAACGCGUAAUCAACCUGCCCUUCAGAGGGUGACCACACUUGCAAACGACUGCUAAUACCGCAUACUGAAGGAGGGGAUUGCGUCUGAUUAGCUAGUUGGAGGGGGAACGGCCCACCAAGGCGAUGAUCAGUAGCCGGUCUGAGAGGAUGAACGGCGACAUUGGGACCGAGACACGGCCCAGACUCCUACGGGAGGCAGCAGGGGGGAAUCUUCCGCAAUGGACGAAAGUCUGACGGAGCAACGCCGCGUGAGUGAUGACGGCCUUCGGGUGGGAAAGCUAUGUUAAUCGGGACGCGGGACCGGAAUAGAAAGCCACGGCUAACUACGUGCCAGCAGCCGCGGUAAUUC
rnacentral:rRNA from 1 species